rnacentral:rRNA from 1 species
GAUGAACGCUAGCGGGAGGCCUAACACAUGCAAGUCGAGCGGGAAUCCCUUUCGGGGGAUGAGAGCGGCGCACGGGUGAGUAACGCGUAUGCAACCUGCCCCGGACAGGGGGAUAGCCCGGAGAAAUCCGGAUUAAUACCCUAUAUAAUUAUGAAGUCGCAUGAUUUUAUGAUUAAAGCUACGGCGGUUCGGGAUGGGCAUGCGUGACAUUAGCUAGUUGGUGAGGUAACGGCUCACCAAGGCUGCGAUGUCUAGGGGUUCUGAGAGGAUGACUCCCCCACACUGGUACUGAGACACGGACCAGACUCCUACGGGAGGCAGCAGUGAGGAAUAUUGGUCAAUGGGCGCAAGCCUGAACCAGCCAUCCCGCGUGAAGGAAGACGGCCCUAUGGGUUGUAAACUUCUUUUGUACAUGAAGAAAGGGACCUACGGGUAGGUUCGUGACGGUAAUGUACGAAUAAGCAUCGGCUAACUCCGUG